rnacentral:rRNA from 1 species
CCUACGGGGGGCAGCAGUAGGGAAUAUUGCUCAAUGGGGGAAACCCUGAAGCAGCAACGCCGCGUGGAGGAUGAAGGUUUUCGGAUUGUAAACUCCUUUUGUUAGAGAAGAUAAUGACGGUAUCUAACGAAUAAGCACCGGCUAACUCCGUGCCAGCAGCCGCGGUAAUACGGAGGGUGCAAGCGUUACUCGGAAUCACUGGGCGUAAAGAGCGCGUAGGCGGGAUAGCAAGUCAGAUGUGAAAGCCUACGGCUUAACCAUAGAACUGCAUUUGAAACUGUUAUUCUAGAGUAUGGGAGAGGUAGGUGGAAUUCGUGGUGUAGGGGUAAAAUCCGUAGAGAUCAAGAGGAAUACUCAUUGCGAAGGCGACCUGCUAGAACAUAACUGACGCUGAUGCGCGAAAGCGUGGGUAGCAAACAGGAUUAGAUACCCUUGUAGUC